rnacentral:rRNA from 1 species
AUGCAAGUCGAACGAGGUCCGGAGCUUGCUCCGGGUGCCUAGUGGCGAACGGGUGAGUAACGCGUGGGAAUCUGCCCUGGAGUGGGGAACAACAGUUGGAAACGACUGCUAAUACCGCAUACGCCCUGAGGGGGAAAGGCUUCGGCCGCUCUUGGAUGAUCCCGCGUCCGAUUAGCUUGUUGGUGGGGUAACGGCCUACCAAGGCGACGAUCAGUAGCUGGUCUGAGAGGAUGAUCAGCCACACUGGGACUGAGACACGGCCCAGACUCC